GUAACGCGUAGUCAAUCUACCCUAUGGACGGGAAUAACCUCGGGAAACUGAGAAUAAUGCCCGAUAGAACAUUAUGCCUGGAAUGGUUUAUGUUUCAAAUGAUUUAUCGCCAUAGGAUGGGACUGCGGCCUAUCAGUUUGUUGGUGAGGUAAUGGCCCACCAAGACUAUUACAGGUACGGGCUCUGAGAGGAGUAGCCCGGAGAUGGGUACUGAGACACGGACCCAGGCCCUAUGGGGCGCAGCAGGCGAGAAAACUUUGCAAUGUGCGAAAGCACGACAAGGUUAAUCCGAGUGGUUUCUGCUAAAGAAACCUUUUGUCAGUCCUAGAAACACUAACGAAUAAGGGGUGGGCAAGUUCUGGUGUCAGCCGCCGCGGUAAAACCAGCACCUCAAGUGGUCAGGAUGAUUAUUGGGCCUAAAGCAUCCGUAGCUCGUUUUGUAAGUUUUCGGUUAAAUCCAUGCGCUUAACGUAUGGGCUGCCGGGAAUACUGCAUAACUAGGAAGUGGGAGAGGUAGACGGUACUCGGUAGGAAGGGGUAAAAUCCUUUGAUCUAUUGAUGACCACCUGUGGCGAAGGCGGUCUACCAGAACACGUUCGACGGUGAGGGAUGAAAGCUGGGGGAGCAAACCGGAUUAGAUACCCGGGUAGUCCCAGCUGUAAACUAUGCAAACUCAGUGAUGCAUUGGCUUGUGGCCAAUGCAGUGCUGCAGGGAAGCCGUUAAGUUUGCCGCCUGGGAAGUACGUACGCAAGUAUGAAACUUAAAGGAAUUGGCGGGGGAGCACCACAAGGGGUGAAGCCUGCGGUUCAAUUGGAGUCNACGCCGGAAAGGGCGAAUUCGCGGCCGCUAA
rnacentral:rRNA from 1 species